rnacentral:rRNA from 1 species
CAGUAGCCGCGGUAACACGGAGGGUGCAAGCGUUAAUCGGAAUUACUGGGCGUAAAGCGCACGCAGGCGGUUUGUUAAGUCAGAUGUGAAAUCCCCGAGCUUAACUUGGGAACUGCAUUUGAAACUGGCAGGCUAGAGUCUCGUAGAGGGGGGUAGAAUUCCAGGUGUAGCGGUGAAAUGCGUAGAGAUCUGGAGGAAUACCGGUGGCGAAGGCGGCCCCCUGGACGAAGACUGACGCUCAGGUACGAAAGCGUGGGGAGCAAACAGGAUUAGAUACCCACGUAGUCCCUGUCUCUUAUAC